rnacentral:rRNA from 1 species
UAGCGGUGAAAUGCAUAGAUAUUACUCAGAACACCGAUUGCGAAGGCAGGUUACCAAGUUAUAACUGACGCUGAGGGACGAAAGCGUGGGGAGCGAACAGGAUUAGAUACCCUGGUAGUCCACGCCGUAAACGAUGCUAACUCGUUUUUGGGCUAUAUGGUUCAGAGACUAAGCGAAAGUGAUAAGUUAGCCACCUGGGGAGUACGACCGCAAGGUUGAAACUCAAAGGAAUUGACGGGGGCCCGCACAAGCGGUGGAUCAUGUGGUUUAAUUCGAUGAUACGCGAGGAACCUUACCAAGGCUUAAAUGGGAAUUGAUAGCUGUAGAAAUACGGUUUUCUUCGGACAAUUUUCAAGGUGCUGCAUGGUUGUCGUCAGCUCGUGCCGUGAGGUGUUAGGUUAAGUCCUGCAACGAGCGCAACCCCUGUCACUAGUUGCCAUCAUUAAGUUGGGGACUCUAGUGAGACUGCCUACGCAAGUAGCGAGGAAGGUGGGGAUGACGUCAAAUCAUCACGGCCCUUACGCCUUGGGCCACACACGUGAUACAAUGGCCGGUACAGAGGGCAGCUACACUGCGAAGUGAUGCAAAUCUCGAAA